rnacentral:lncRNA from 1 species
AAAGAGGGAACGCAGAAAAUUCACAGAAAUAUGGUUCAAAGAAAUACGAUAUUGAAGAAAUAAGUAAUGAGGGUUACGUAUUUCAAUGAAAAUAUAUUGUGUGAAAUGGGAGAGAUGAUCUUGGAUGGAAAUAAGGUUCGAAAUGAAGGAGAUGAUCGUGGAAAUAAGGUUCGUAAUGGACGGGAUGAUAGGGUUUGCAAAAGAAGAGAAGAACGAUGAAGGUUGAGAUGAUAGUGAAGUUUACGUAAUGAAGAGGAAACUGAAGAGGUAACUGUUAUAUAUAUGUAACCCUUUUACAGCGCUUUUUAUAAGCCUUUUACAGCGCUUCUUUUGCAAAGCGCUCUAAA